CUUCCUGUUCCCGCGGGCCGCGCUCUCCCCGCGUUGCCAAGCGCUGGGCCCAAAGAGCGAAUACAACAACGUCCGGUCCAGGUACUUCCGCUCUCUUUCGUUAUCCGAUUGGAUAACUAUAGGCCGAGAGACCCGCCUCAUUCCAGAGUAUGGUAGAUUGACACUAAUAUAGCCCAAUAGGAAUAAAAGCAAGAAUGUUUGAAGACAUUGCCUGGGAACAAAGAAGCAAUAGCCUGUGCCUGCUGGUCUAUGAUGCCUUUAUAACUCAGUGGUUCUGACAACAGGAGGCAACAACCACACUCUUCUGCAUUUAUUUUCCUGAAAAACUGAGCACUUAAUGUGCAUACCAUGACCAUGCUUCCUGUGUGACUGGCCUUUGGACACCUCCACUGAACGCUGCAAAUGGUGGAGAAACCUGGUCACCCACUUGUGGGCUUCUGGAUUGAUACCUUUACUUCUGUACUGGAUGGUUAAGAAGAGGCCCAGCGGGACCUGGAGAACUGACAGCUGGUGAUGUGUGGUGUUUCUGUUCUGGCUUUCAACAACUUGGCAGUGAAUCUCAGUCUGACCACUCCACUCAGUUGAAUGGGAGACGUGCAAUUAACCAGCCCUCUUAAAGCUCACAGAUCUUGCCAAUGACACAAUAGGAGUCCAAGAGGCAUUCUGGGUCUAUACCUACUCCAAGAGGCAUUCUGGGUCUAUACCUACUCCAAGAGGCAUUCUGGGUCUAUACCUACUCCCACUUCAUUACAUUUUUGCCGGUCACCUGCCUGGAGCCUGUUGAAGAUUAUGGCAUUACCUGGUGCUUCAGGGGUAAGUUUAACACACCUUUGAUUAACUACCUUAUUUGAGCUUCCAUAAAAUUUGAACUCACAAACCAGUGCUUCCUGUCAGUGCAAGAGUUCUGUUUGGAUCUUUGCUCUCUCAUUCUGCAGCAUCUGUGUUCCUCCCUAGGUUCUAGGGAGCCUUGCAGCAGCCUGCUGGCCUGUUGCUCCCCAGCAGGUGGAGCUCAUGGCUCCUGGGACUCCAUCUCACUCCAGCCUUGGUGAAGCAAUUGUGCUUUGCUUGCUUGGUCUACAUCUGGGCUCUAGUGGGUAUAACAUUGUGUUUGAUGUGAGUGGUUGGCUGUUAAAACAGGAUUUUGAGAACCAGAGUAGUCUUGCAUGAUUAACUGCAGUCCUAGAAUUUGAGACAUAAAGGCAGGAGGAUUAGAAAUGCAGUCAGCCACAACUGCACUGUGAAUUUAAGGCCAACCUAAGCUACCCGAAGCUCAGUUUCAAGAGAAAGAAAGGAAAAUGAGAGGAGAGUAGAGAUAUAAAAGAAAGGAAAGGAUGACCACAUUUAAGAGUUAAGGUUAAUUUCAUGGUACUGUGUGGGUGAUUUAGUUUUUCUGGAAAAGAAGCACAUUAAGUGUAUCAAAUGUCAGCAAUGAUUAUUGUUGUUGUUGUUGUCCUGGAUGGCACAGAACUCAUGUUGUAAGGCAGUGUGGCCCCAAACUCAUAGAAAUCUUCUUGUCUCUGCAUCUCAAAGUGCUAGGAUUAAAGGUGUGUGCUUCCCCCACCUGGUCUUGUUUAUCCUGCUUUAAAUUGUUUAUUUAAAUUAAAUUUAAGUUAAAUUUUAUCAUUCCAAGUCAUGGGCCUCCGUUUGGCCUCUUAUUCGUAUAUGCUUCCUUCUUCCCUGUAAUCUUGCUGCCUGCCUCUUCUUGCUGUCACUUUUCAAAUACAACUUUUCAGAGAACACAGUGCAUCCUCUGCCCAGAGCUACAGGAACUUUUAGAGAGAAACUAGGAUUGAGGGGACUGCAGGAAACUUCUAGAAAAUGACAUGUGAUUUGUGUGUUGGCAGAUGCUCACAUUGUAAUGUUGAGACAUUAAAAAUAGCAACUGAUAAAAUAUAUUACAUGUAACACCAUUACCCUGAUCUAUAAACCUUUGAACAGAGGAAGAACGACAUCUGCAAUCCCACUGUAUUAAGUGUCUUUAUUUCUAAAAUUUAUCAAUG